rnacentral:rRNA from 1 species
CCUACGGGAGGCAGCAGUGGGGAAUAUUGCACAAUGGGGGGAACCCUGAUGCAGCGACGCCGCGUGAGUGAAGAAGUAUUUCGGUAUGUAAAGCUCUAUCAGCAGGAACGAGACAAGACGGUACCUGACUAAGAAGCCCCGGCUAACUACGUGCCAGCAGCCGCGGUAAUACGUAGGAGGCAAGCGUUAUCCGGAAUGACUGGGCGUAAAGGGUGCGUAGGUGGUUUGACAAGUUAGUAGCGCAACUCCGGAGCUCAACUUCGGAACUACUACUAAAACUGUUGGACUUGAGUGCAGGAGGGGCAAUCGGAAUUCCUAGUGUAGCGGUGGAAUGCGUAGAUAUUAGGAGGAACACCAGUGGCGAAGGCGGAUUGCUAGACUGUAACUGACACUGAGGCACGAAAGCGUGGGGAGCAAACAGGAUUAGAUACCCUAGUAGUC